rnacentral:tRNA from 1 species
GGGCGGCUGUUGCCGUGUCGACCUGACUUGAAAACUGGUGGGCGGAAACGUCUCGUGGGUUCGAAUCCCACGCCCUCCGCCA